ensembl:lncRNA
CCUGAUCUGUUGGUGACAGUAGGCCAUCUGAUCUGUUGGUGACAGUAGGUCAUCUGAUCUGUUGGUGCCAGUAGGUCAUCUGAUAUGUUGGUGACAGUAGGUCAUCUGGGUAGACCCUGAUCUGUUGGUGACAGUAGGUAAUCUGAUAUGUUGGUGACAGUAGGCCAUCUGAUCUGUUGAUUGCAGUGGGCCAUCUGAUCUGUUGGUGACAGUAGGUCAUCUGAUAUGUUGGUGGCAGUAGGUCAUCUGAUAUGUUGGUGACAGUAGGUCAUCUGAUAUGUUGGUGGCAGUAGGUCAUCUGAUAUGUUGGUG